rnacentral:rRNA from 1 species
CUGCCAGUAGUCAUAUGCUUGUUUCAAGGACUAAGCCAUGCAAGUCUCAGAGUAAAUGGAUUAACAGUAGGUCUGCAGACAGCUCAUUAAACCAGCUUGAACCUACGUGGAGAAACUGCCUUUUGGCAGACUAUUGGAUAACUUUGGUAACCCCAAAGCUAAUACAUGUCUGCACUUCCCGCACAGAUUCAACCCUUGGAUCUUGGUCCGAGGGCUGUGCUGGGUGCAAUUGACCGAAACAAAAACCAACGCUAGCAAUAGCAGCGGUGAUUGGAUGAUUCAGGUCAAUCGAGUAGUAGCGCAUGCUCUGUUGGCGCUUGUCCGCACGGCAAUCUGCCCUAUCAGCUUUUGACGGUAGUGUAGUGGACUACCGUGGCUGUAACGGGUAACGGGGAAUUAGGGUUCGAUUCCGGAGAGGGAGCCUGAGAAACGGCUACCACAACUACGGUUGGCAGCAGGCGCGCAAAUUGCCCAAUAGCAACACAUCGCUGAGGCAGCGAAGAGAAAUAGCAACUUCAUGCGGCCCUGCCGUGUGAAGAUUGCCAUGGACGAUAUCUAAACCUGUCGGUGAGUAUCAAUUGGUGGACAAGUCUGGUGCCAGCACCCGCGGUAAUUCCAGCACCAAUAGCGUAUAUUAAUGCUGCUGCUGUUAAAAAGCUCGUAGUUGGAUCAAGAGCUGGACUGUGCACGGUAGCCCCGUUAGUCAUGGUGGCUCAUCCUGACGGCGGCGGAACAACCCCGCGCAUUACGCAGUCCACUCUAGCAGGCCGAAACGGUUCCCUGUGAGUAGGCCCCUUCAUUGGAGUCGAAGCGCCAACGCAUCAACCAUAUGCAUACGGGACGUCGGCCAACGUUACUAUGAUCAAACCAGCGUGUCCAAAGCAGGCCUUCGCCUGAAUGUUCGAGCAUGGAAUAACAAGGGAUCGAUUCUCUCGGUUCUUUUUGUUGGUUUUUAACCCGAGAAGGAGUAAUUCAGUCCACGGUGUCCGAGUUGGGUUACCCUAGGUCUAGGCUUCGGCCCCAAUUAGGCCGUGUGCUUACGGGAUCAAUAGGGACUGACGGGGUCGUACGUACUUCCGCGUCAGAGGUGAAAUUCUUAGAUCGCGGGAAGACGAACUUCUGCGAAAGCAUUCGACAAGAAUGUCGUCAUUAAUCAGGAACGAGAGUGUGGGGAUCGAAGAUGAUCAGAUACCGUCGUAGUCCACUACUGUAAAGAGAAGAAGCAAAAGUCGUAACAAGGUAGCUGUAGGUGAACCUGCAGAAGGAUC